GCUGAUCUUGUAGGGUUAGAUACCGAAUUUCGACGCCUCAGUUUUAAACGACAUGCAGAACUACAAACAUUUGAAGACUUUUCUGCCUUAAUGGCACAACAACAUAAAGAGGAGAUCGCCGACGGGUAUAUAGUUCACUGGACGUCGUGGGGAAUUCCGAGGCCUACAUAACACUGUCGGCAAUAAGAACGGUGUUAUCCGCGUAUCUGAUGUUAUUAAUGAAAAUGCCGUUUAUCUUCACACCUUGUUGAAAUUCGCUAAUGGAUUCUUCAAAUAUUUUUUCUGAGUACACAUUGAAUAACAGUGGCGACAAUAUGCAACCCUGUCUAACGCCUCGUGAAAUUGAUAUCCCUUCUGUUAUAUCACCAUCGAUGUUUACAUGCGUAGUUUGUUGCCAGUACAAAUUUUUAAUGCAUCGGAUUUCCUUGUCAUCAAUAUUAAUGUUUUGAAGAAUUUCUAUAAGUUUAUCAUGUUUCACGUUGUCGAACGCUUUCU